UACGUAGGGUGCGAGCGUUGUCCGGAAUUAUUGGGCGUAAAGAGCUCGUAGGCGGCCUGUCGCGUCGGAUGUGAAAACUCGGGGCUUAACCCCGAGCCUGCAUUCGAUACGGGCAGGCUAGAGUUCGGCAGGGGAGACUGGAAUUCCUGGUGUAGCGGUGAAAUGCGCAGAUAUCAGGAGGAACGCCGGUGGCGAAGGCGGGUCUCUGGGCCGAUACUGACACUGAGGAGCGAAAGCCAGGGGAGCAAACGGG
rnacentral:rRNA from 1 species